AUUGAACGCUGGCGGCAGGCCUAACACAUGCAAGUCGAACGAGUGGCGGACGGGUGAGUAAUGUCUGGGAAACUGCCCGAUGGAGGGGGAUAACUACUGGAAACGGUAGCUAAUACCGCAUACCAUCAGAUGUGCCCAGAUGGGAUUAGCUAGUAGGUGGGGUAACGGCUCACCUAGGCGACGAUCCCUAGCUGGUCUGAGAGGAUGACCAGCCACACUGUGACUGUGACACGGUCAAGACUCCCACGGUAGUCAGCAGUGGGGAAUAUUGGAAAAUUGGAGCAAGCCUGAUGGAGCCAUGCCGCGUGGAUGAGUAAGGCCUUCGGGUUGUAAAGUUCUUUCAGCGAGGAGGGGGUACGCGCAGAAGAAGCACCGGCUAACUCCGUGCCAGCAGCCGCGGUAAUAC
rnacentral:rRNA from 1 species